CCUCCUCCUAGAAGCUUUGAGGUGUUGUUGCUGUGCCACAUGUAUGUCAGUAGAUAGCAGAGAGAGGAGCUCUGUCUACACUUAGUGGUCUGCCCUAUGAACAUCUGAAUUAUUAGUACCUGAACAUU